UACAGAGGUCUCAAGCGUUGUUCGGAUUCAUUGGGCGUAAAGGGUGUGUAGGUGGCGCGCUAAGUCGGGUGUGAAAUUUCGGAGCUUAACUCCGAAACUGCAUUCGAUACUGGCGUGCUUGAGGACUGGAGAGGAGACUGGAAUUCAUGGUGUAGCAGUGAAAUGCGUAGAGAUCAUGAGGAAGACCAGUGGCGAAGGCGGGUCUCUGGGCCGUAACUGACGCUGGAGGAGCGAAAGCGUGGGGAGCGAACAGG
rnacentral:rRNA from 1 species